CUCUAUUUACUAUAAUUUCUUUUGUCUUAUUAGUCAUACCACAAGUAAAUGAAACUAGCAUGUUCUCCAUUACUAACAUAUAAAAAGGCAGUUAUAAAGAUGGACUCAAUUACUAUAUUAAUGGAAAAGCGUAGCCCAACAGCUAAACUUUUAGCAUAGACAGCCCCGCAAGACUAAGUACUGCUUUAAAUCAAACUACCGUAGCCAUAACCAACCAGUAUGUAUUUAACUGUAUUUUCUAAACAUCGAUACAAGAAAACUAAGCCAUGACACUGUUUGAACAUUUAGCUGGUUAUCUGGGAUUGUGUUAUUGUCCCGACUAAGCUAUCGGUCCAUAUCUACAGCUCUGACUGCUA